rnacentral:rRNA from 1 species
GAUGAACGCUGGCGGCGUGCCUAAUACAUGCAAGUCGAGCGAACAGAUAAGGAGCUUGCUCCUUUGACGUUAGCGGCGGACGGGGGAGUAAUACGUGGUUAACCUACCUCUAAGACUGGAUUAAUUCCGGCAAACCGGGGCGAAUGCCGGAUAACAUUUAGAACCGCAUGGUUCUAGAGUGAAAGAUGGUUUUGCUAUCGGUUAUAGAUGGACCCGCGCCGUAUUAGCUAGUUGGUAAGGUAACGGCUUACCAAGGCAACGAUACGUAGCCGACCUGAGAGGGUGAUCGGCCACACUGGAACUGAGACACGGUCCAGACUCCUACGGGAGGCAGCAGUAGGGAAUCUUCCGCAAUGGGCGAAAGCCUGACGGAGCAACGCCGCGUGAGUGAUGAAGGUCUUCGGAUCGUAAAACUCUGUUAUUAGGGAAGAACAAAUGUGUAAGUAACUGUGCACGUCUUGACGGUACCUAAUCAGAAAGCCACGGCUAACUACGUG